rnacentral:rRNA from 1 species
UACGGAGGGUCCGAGCGUUAUCCGGAUUUAUUGGGUUUAAAGGGUGCGCAGGCGGUAUAAUAAGUCAGUGGUGAAAUCCCGAGGCUCAACCUCGGAACUGCCAUUGAUACUGUUGUACUCGAGUAUAGACGAAGUAGGCGGAAUGUAGCAUGUAGCGGUGAAAUGCUUAGAUAUGCUACAGAACACCGAUUGCGAAGGCAGCUUACUAGACUAUUACUGACGCUAAUGCACGAAAGCGUGGGGAGCGAACAGG